UACGUAGGUGGCAAGCGUUGUCCGGAUUUACUGGGCGUAAAGCGCGCGCAGGCGGGCUGGUCAGUCUGGGGUGAAAUCUCACGGCUCAACCGUGAGAGGUCCCUGGAUACUGCUAGCCUUGAGGGGCUCAGAGGAGAGUGGAAUUCCGGGUGUAGUGGUGGAAUGCGUAGAUAUCCGGAGGAACACCAGUGGCGAAAGCGGCUCUCUGGGGGCAACCUGACGCUGAGGCGCGAAAGCGUGGGGAGCGAACCGGAUUAGAUACCCGGGUAGUCCACGCCGUAAACGAUGAGUACUAGUUGUCGGGGGUAUCGACCCCCUCGGUAACGAAGCUAACGCGAUAAGUACUCCGCCUGGGGACUACGACCGCAAGGUUAAA
rnacentral:rRNA from 1 species